UAUAGGUGGACUGGGAGGCCCCCUCCCGGUGCGCACGCCACCGCCCACUCCCCGGGUUCCCACUCCCCCGGAGCUCAUGUGACACCAGCUUAAGCCGAAGGGGACUAAAGCCGGGGGACGCCUUGCAGGGGACCGAGCGGCAGCGCUCCCGGGAGCCCCGGGGACUGGACCGGUUCCCUGCCGGCGGGAAGGCCCGGCACUUGGGCGCACUGGCGUUCCUGCGCCCCCACACGCGCUCCAAACCUCGGCCCCACGCGGACUGCAGAAGGGAAGCCGGAGAAACAUUUCAUUUUCUCUUUCUCGGGGAACCUGGGUCUGGACCAGUCCCCACCCUCGGAAGGGUGGAGAGGGCCCGCGGUAGAAAGGAAUUUCCUGGGAAUUUCCUGAUUCCACCACCGUUCCCGCCCCGCCCCGCCCCGCCCCACACCGCCCCACACCACCCGGCUGCUCCUUGCCCUGCGGAAGCCAGGUUUGUAGCGGGCAAACCGUUCUCAGGCCACCGGUUCCCGCUUCGCCAAGGUCCUUUUCAUGCUUCUAUCAGGCCUGGGAGACUGCCCCGCUGAGGGCUUCCAGGAUGGCAGCAGUGACGCCCGGCUUCCCAGGAUCCCCACAGGUGAGCCUUUUGGUGGAGCUGCUGAAAGAAGUGCCAUGCCUCCACCUCCCACUUCCCUCAGCCUCCUCCAUUAUCCAUUCUCCAAGCAGCUGCUUUGUACCGAGGACCAAACCUACGGCCUCAUGCAUGCUAAAUGAGUGAUCUACCACUGAGCCACAGCCCCAUGCCUUGGAUUGACAUUUGAAGUGACACAGAGAAGACAGAGUGCCAGUCCAGGGCCUGGUAGGCAGCAGGCCUCCUCAGUUAUCAAUCCUUGCCCUGCUGUGUGUUGCUGACUCUGCAGAUCCCUAUAGGAAAACACUGAGAGACCUCAGCCAGCUGAAACGUGUUUGGAUCAAUGACAAACUUCAUCAACUCAUGUGGCCUCCAGCCCUCACUAAUGCGUUAGGCAACAGCAGCCUCAGGUUGGCCUUCACAGCCUCCAUUGUCAUGACUGACAUUGCAGACACUAAAACUAGCCAAGAUAAUGACGGGGAUAAAUGGUCCUUUAACCAGAGGCUCCACAUGCUCUGGGAACAUUACCUCAUGCAGGGCAGGCACACACUCCCCCACACCUUUUCAAGUCUUUCUCACACGGGCUUUGUGGAAAGGCCUUCUCCACAGUCUCAGUAACUCUUGCUUCCAGCCUUGUUUGUGGUCCUUGCUGAGAGAACUGCCUCGAGGAAAAGUCUCCUUUCAACAUGGUUGUACAACUCUCUGAGGCCAGCCACGGCCCACCCUCCUGUGAGCAGUCCCUCUACUGACCUACCCCUCCCUGUGCUCAAUGCAAGGAGCAUUGCCAACAGUGUGUUAAAGUGUUUUCAAAUACUAAGAAUAGGAAACGGGGUUUACAUAUAAUUUUGUAGCUAGUACUAUGGCUUACUGAAUUGUUGGUCCCCCCCAUACUGGUGGGCCAAGGCACAAUUUAUA